UACAGAGGGGGCAAGCGUUGUUCGGAAUUACUGGGCGUAAAGGGCGCGUAGGCGGCCUGUUAAGUCGAACGUGAAAUCCCCGGGCUCAACCCGGGAACUGCGUCCGAUACUGGCAGGCUUGAAUCCGGGAGAGGGAUGCGGAAUUCCAGGUGUAGCGGUGAAAUGCGUAGAUAUCUGGAGGAACACCGGUGGCGAAGGCGGCAUCCUGGGACCGGCAUUGACGCUGAGGCGCGAAAGCCAGGGGGAGCAAAACGGGGAUUAGAAACCC
rnacentral:rRNA from 1 species